rnacentral:tRNA from 1 species
ACAAGGAUGGCCGAGAGGUUAAGGCGGUGGACUUAAGAUCCAAUGGAUGUAUGCCCGUGUUGGUUCAAACCCCACUGCUGGUA